rnacentral:rRNA from 1 species
AUUGAACUCUGGCGGCAGGCCUAACACAUGCAAGUCGAACGAGUGGCGGACGGGUGAGUAAUGUCUGGGAAACUGCCUGAUGGAGGGGGAUAACUACUAGAAACGUUAGCUAAUACCGCAUACAAUCAGAUGAGCCCAUAUAGGAUGAGCUAGUUGGUUGGGUAACGGCUCCCCGAGGCGACGAUCGCUAGCUGGGCUGAGAGGAUGCCCAGCCACACUGUGACUGAGACAAGGUCCAGACUCCUACGGGAUGCAGCAGUGGGGAAUAUUGCACAAUGGGCGCAAUCCUGAUGCAGCCACGCCGCGUGUAUGAAGAAGGCCUUCGGGUUGUAAAGUACUUUCAGCGGGGAGGCGUUACCCGCAGAAGAAGCACCGGCUAACUCCGUGCCAGCAGCCGCGGUAAUUC